rnacentral:rRNA from 1 species
GACGAACGCUGGCGGCGUGCUUAACACAUGCAAGUCGAACGGAAAGGCCCUGCUUUUGUGGGGUGCUCGAGUGGCGAACGGGUGAGUAACACGUGAGUAACCUGCCCUUGACUUUGGGAUAACUUCAGGAAACUGGGGCUAAUACCGGAUAGGAGCUCCUGCUGCAUGGUGGGGGUUGGAAAGUUUCGGCGGUUGGGGAUGGACUCGCGGCUUAUCAGGUUGUUGGUUGGGUAGUGGUUUACCAAGGUUUUGACGGGUAGCCGGCCUGCGAGGGUGACCGGACAAAUUGGGACUGGACUGCGGCCCAGACUACUACGGGAGGCAGCAGUGGGGAAUAUUGCACAAUGGGCGGAAGCCUGAUGCAGCAACGCCGCGUGCGGGAUGACGGCAUGCGGUUUGUAAACCGCUUUCGCCUGUGACGAAGCGUGAGUGACGGUAAUGGGUAAAGAAGCACCGGCUAACUACGUG